UACGAAGGGGGGCUAGCGUUGCUCGGAUUGACUGGGCGUAAAGGGCGCGUAGGCGGUUUGCAUAGUCAGACGUGAAAUUCCUGGGCUUAACCUGGGGGGCUGCGUUUGAUACAUGCAGGCUUGAGUUCGGAAGAGGGUCGUGGAAUUCCCAGUGUAGAGGUGAAAUUCGUAGAUAUUGGGGUGGAACACCGGUGGCGAAGGCGGCUCACUGGUCCGGUUCUGACGCUGAGGCGCGAAAGCGUGGGGGAGCAAACAGG
rnacentral:rRNA from 1 species